UGGGGAAUUUUGGACAAUGGGGGAAACCCUGAUCAAGCCAUCCCGCGUGUGCGAUGAAGGCCGUCGGGUGGUAAAGCACUUUUGGCAGGAAAGAAACGUCAUGGGUUAAUACCCCGUGAAACUGACGGUACCUGCAGAAUAAGCACCGGCUAACUACGUGCCAGCAGCCGCGGUAAUACGGAGGGUGCAAGCGUUAAUCGGAAUUACUGGGCGUAAAGCGUGCGCAGGCGGUUCGGAAAGAAAGAUGUGAAAUCCCAGAGCUCAACUUUGGAACUGCAUUUUUAACUACCGGGCUAGAGUGUGUCAGAGGGAGGUGGAAUUCCGCGUGUAGCAGUGAAAUGCGUAGAUAUGCGGAGGAACACCGAUGGCGAAGGCAGCCUCCUGGGAUAACACUGACGCUCAUGCACGAAAGCGUGGGGAGCAAACAGG
rnacentral:rRNA from 1 species